rnacentral:rRNA from 1 species
UGUCGGCGACCGGCGCACGGGUGCGUAACGCGUAUGCAACCUACCCAUUACAGGGGGAUAACACUGAGAAAUCGGUACUAAUACCCCAUAACAUCCAGGGAGGCAUCUUCUUGGGUUGAAAACUCCGGUGGUAAUGGAUGGGCAUGCGUUGUAUUAGUUAGUUGGUGGGGGUAACGGCUCACCAAGACAACGAUACAUAGGGGGACUGAGAGGUUAACCCCCCACCAUUGGUACUGAGGCACGGACCAAACUCCUACGGAAGGCAGCAG